AGAGCGAACGCUGGCGGCAGGCCUAACACAUGCAAGUCGAGCGUCCGUAGCAAUACGGGAGCGGCAGACGGGAUAGUAACACGUGGGAACGCGCCCUUCGGUUCGGAAUAACUCAGGGAAACUUGAGCUAAUACCGGAUACGCCCUUACGGGGAAAGAUUUAUUGCCGAAGGAACGGCCCGCGUCCGAUUAGCUAGUUGGUGAGGUAAUGGCUCACCAAGGCGACGAUCGGUAGCUGGUCUGAGAGGAUGACCAGCAUCACUGGGACUGAGACACGGCCCAGACUCCUACGGGAGGCAGCAGUGGGGAAUAUUGGACAAUGGGCGCAAGCCUGAUCCAGCCAUGCCGCGUGGAUGAUGAAGGCCUUAGGGUUGUAAAGUCCUUUUAACGGGGAAGAUAAUGACGGUACCCGUAGAAUAAGCCCCGGCUAACUUCGUGCCAGCAGCCGC
rnacentral:rRNA from 1 species